rnacentral:rRNA from 1 species
AACUUUCAACAACGGAUCUCUUGGUUCCAGCAUCGAUGAAGAACGCAGCGAAAUGCGAUAAGUAAUGUGAAUUGCAGAAUUCAGUGAAUCGUCGAAUCUUUGAACGCACAUUGCGCCCCUCGGUAUUCCGGGGGGCAUGUCUGUUCGAGCGUCA